CGGGUGGGUAUCUUGGUAGGCAUGAAAGCUGCCUUACAAGCAGGAUGUCACUGGUUCGAGUCCAGUACCGCCCAUCCA
rnacentral:tRNA from 1 species